ACGAACGCUGGCGGCGUGCUUAACACCUGCAAGUCGAACGGAAAGGCCCUGCUUUUGUGGGGUGCUCGAGUGGCGAACGGGUGAGUAACACGUGAGUAACCUGCCCUUGACUUUGGGAUAACUUCAGGAAACUGAGGCUAAUACCGGAUAGGAGCUCCUGCUGCAUGGUGGGGGUUGGAAAGUUUCGGCGGUUGGGGAUGGACUCGCGGCUUAUCAGCUUGUUGGUGGGGUAGUGGCUUACCAAGGCUUUGACGGGUAGCCGGCCUGAGAGGGUGACCGGCCACAUUGGGACUGAGAUACGGCCCAGACUCCUACGGGAGGCAGCAGUGGGGAAUAUUGCACAAUGGGCGGAAGCCUGAUGCAGCAACGCCGCGUGCGGGAUGACGGCCUUCGGGUUGUAAACCGCUUUCGCCUGUGACGAAGCGUGAGUGACGGUAAUGGGUAAAGAAGCACCGGCUAACUACGUG
rnacentral:rRNA from 1 species